UACGUAGGGUGCGAGCGUUAAUCGGAAUUACUGGGCGUAAAGCGUGCGCAGGCGGUUUUGUAAGCCAGAUGUGAAAUCCCCGGGCUUAACCUGGGAAUGGCAUUUGGGACUGCAAGGCUCGAGUGCGGCAGAGGAGACUGGAAUUCCUGGUGUAGCGGUGAAAUGCGCAGAUAUCAGGAGGAACACCGGUGGCGAAGGCGGGUCUCUGGGCCACUACUGACGCUGAGAAGCGAAAGCGUGGGGAGCGAACAGG
rnacentral:rRNA from 1 species